CUGGCUGAAUGGAUGGAAGCUAAAAGAGAAUGGAAGGCCUCCAGCUGUUUGAGGCUCUGUCCUCAACGACAAUCAAAAUUCUCCAUCUUUUCUUGUUCUUGGCACUUUCUGAUUGAAAUAAGAUUCCAGCAUUUAUCUGCACCUGCAAUUUUGACAAGAAAGGAAAAUUUAAAAGACAAGUGAAAGAAUUCUCUGAGGGAAGUCAAUGAGUCGACAGUAGUCAGACGCCUCCAAAUCUCUUUUUGCAUUCCUCCGUCAAUUAAGCUACAGUCACAUAUUGGAGAGCAGAACUUAAGUCUGUGAGUAGAAAUGCAAAAAUGUGUGUCGAUCAGUAGCUGGAACCUUCCUCUGGAGCGAGUAUUACUUGGAGAGCAGCUGAUGAUCCAUUUGGCAUUGAAAUGGAGAGGAUUUUGAGUCAAAGAGGCCACUUUAAAUUAUAGAUUUGAGUUUAGUUGAAGGUCACACUUAUCUUGCAUGAAUAAAAUCUUCAGAGAUUUUGGAAUAUACUCAGAAAAUGCAGGCAAUCCUGAGCACAUAAGCAUUUCCUUCAGGGGAUAAAAGCAGUUUAAUAUUAUUGCCCUCUGCAUAAUUAUUGAUCAUAUUAGCAUAGGAGAUACUGAAAGGGAAGGCAGAGUAACCGUCUGAUGGACAUCUUGAUUCUCAGCAGCUACGACCAUGAACUUGGACAGGAAGUUGCCUGGAGACCUGGGAAGAUUGUAAAGGGAAUUUGAUAGUGACCAUUUCAUUUUGGCUCAACAGAUGACAAAAGUGACCCACUGAGAGGGGAAGGAUUAUUUAGCUAAGCUAUAUGACAUAAAUAAAUUCCCACCCCUAGGAAUUUGGGAAUCACCCGCCAUAUGUUGAUUUGAUUAUCUGGAUGUGUGUUUAACCUGAUUCAAAGCUUCCUGGUAGCCAAGAUGAAGAGGGAAAUGUGAAUUAUA
rnacentral:lncRNA from 1 species